CAGUAGCCGCGGUAAUACGUAGGUGGCAAGCGUUGUCCGGAAUUAUUGGGCGUAAAGGGCUCGCAGGUGGUUUCUUAAGUCUGAUGUGAAAGCCCACGGCUCAACCGGGGAGGGUCAUUGGAAACUGGGAAACUUGAGUGCAGAAGAGGAGAGUGGAAUUCCACGUGUAGCGGUGAAAUGCGUAGAGAUGUGAAAGAACACCAACGGCGAAAGCACUCUGCUGGGCCGACACUGACACUGAGAGACGAAAGCUAGGGGAGCAAAUGGGAUUAGAUACCCCAGUAGUCCCUGUCUCUUAUAA
rnacentral:rRNA from 1 species